GCUUCUUGCCCAUCUCAAUCGUAAAAGC
rnacentral:sRNA from 1 species